GACAUGCCUUCCUCUUUAUUUCCACUGUAGCAGGCAAAGUGUUGCAGACCGUGGCCCAGGGCUGUGAAUCCAGUGUAGUCUGCAAUGCUCCGAAAACCCACUUGAACAUGGGGAACGGGAAAAUCCUUCAAGGAAAUUUGGUUUGUUGCACUGGGGAUGCUUGUAAAACAACCAUCCCUUCAUUACCAUCAAUAGAGACUAACGCCAAUGGAAAGCAUUGCCCUGCCUGCUUUUCUGAAACAGGUACAUGCAAGGAAGAAUUUACGAACUGUACCGGGGAUGAAAAUUACUGCUUCCAUCUCUUUAUGCGUUCCUAUGGAGAUGGGGUGCUCUGGGACACAAUCAUGGAAGGCUGCACCACCAAGUCAACAUGCCGUUACAUCAGUGACGGGGACUUGUUCAUCCUUCAACGUCGCAACACAGUGAUUAUAACAGCCUCAUGUUUGGUGGCGGCUUCGAAGAGGCUUUACUCUUGCCAAUUCCACCCCCUGUAUUUUGCUGGGUUCCUUUUUUUCCUCGGGACCUUUCUCUAAAAGUCAUUUGUUAUGGGGCUGCAUCAGCUCUGCCAUUGAAGCAGUUAUUAUCUAUUUAGGUUUCCUUUUCGCCCUUGUAGUGUCUCCCGAGGCAAUGAACUCCCCUCUUGGCAUUGGGUCUCUGUUUUCUUCUGUAAAAAAAAUAAAUGACAUGUUUAAGCAAAC
rnacentral:lncRNA from 1 species